rnacentral:tRNA from 1 species
UAGAAAGUGGUGUAAGGGGAGCACUCGGGGUUUUGAUCCCCGCGAUAUGGGUUCGAUUCCCUUCUUUUUAA